AUUGAACGCUGGCGGCAUGCUUUACACAUGCAAGUCGAACGGUAGAGGGGGCAACCCCUUGAGUGUGGCGAACGGGUGCGUAAUAUAUCGGAACGUGCCCAGUCGUGGGGGAUAACGUAGCGAAAGUUACGCUAAUACCGCCUACUACCUAAUGAUGAAAGCGGGGGAUCGCAAGACCUCGCGCGACUGGAGCGGCCGAUAUCAGAUUAGGUAGUUGGUAGGGUAAAGGCCUACCAAGCCAACGAUCUGUAGCUGGUCUGAGAGGACGACCAGCCACACUGGAACUGAGACACGGUCCAGACUCCUACGGGAGGCAGCUGUGGGGAAUUUUGGACAAUGGGCGAAAGCCUGAUCCAGCCAUUCCGCGUGCAGGAUGAAGGCCCUCGGGUUGUAAACUGCUUUUGUACAGAACGAAAAGGUUUCUAUUAAUACUAGGAGCUAAUGACGGUACUGUAAGAAUAAGCACCGGCUAACUACGUG
rnacentral:rRNA from 1 species